UACUCGAGUGGCGAACGGGUGAGUAACACGUGGGUGAUCUGCCUUGCACUUCGGGAUAAGCUUGGGAAACUGGGUCUAAUACCGGAUAGGACAGCUGUUUAGUGUCAGUUGUGGAAAGUUUUUUCGGUGCAAGAUGAGCUCGCGGCCUAUCAGCUUGUUGGUGGGGUAAUGGCCUACCAAGGCGUCGACGGGUAGCCGGCCUGAGAGGGUGUACGGCCACAUUGGGACUGAGAUACGGCCCAGACUCCUACGGGAGGCAGCAGUGGGGAAUAUUGCACAAUGGGCGGAAGCCUGAUGCAGCGACGCCGCGUGGGGGAUGAAGGCCUUCGGGUUGUAAACUCCUUUCGACAGGGACGAAGCGUAAGUGACGGUACCUGUAUAAGAAGCACCGGCUAACUACGUGCCAGUAGCCGCGGUAAUACGUAGGGUGCGAGCGUUGUCCGGAAUUACUGGGCGUAAAGAGCUCGUAGGUGGUUUGUCGCGUCGUCUGUGAAAUUCCGGGGCUUAACUCCGGGCGUGCAGGCGAUACGGGCUGACUUGAGUGCUGUAGGGGAGGCUGGAAUUCCUGGCGUAGCGGUGAAAUGCGCAGAUAUCAGGAGGAACACCGAUGGCGAAGGCAGGUCUCUGGGCAGUAACUGACGCUGAGGAGCGAAAGCAUGGGUAGCGAACAGGAUUAGAUACCCUGGUAGUCCAUGCCGUAAACGGUGGGCGCUAGGUGUAGGGGGCUUCCACGUCUUCUGUGCCGUAGCUAACGCAUUAAGCGCCCC
rnacentral:rRNA from 1 species